rnacentral:miRNA from 1 species
UAUUAGGUUGGUGCAAAAGUAAUUGCGGUUCUUGCCAUUUGAAAAAAGGCAAAAACCACAGUUACUUCUGCACCAACCUAAU